AUUGAACGCUGGCGGCAGGCCUAACACAUGCAAGUCGAGCGGAGCGGCGGCCGGGUGAGUAAUGCCUAGGAAUCUGCCUGGUAGUGGGGGAUAACGUCCGGAAACGGGCGCUAAUACCGCAUACUAUCAGAUGAGCCUAGGUCGGAUUAGCUAGUUGGUGGGGUAAAGGCCUACCAAGGCGACGAUCCGUAACUGGUCUGAGAGGAUGAUCAGUGACAGUGGAACUGAGACACGGUCCAGACGCCUACUGCAGGCAGCAGUGGGGGAUAUUGCACAAUGGGAUAAAGCCUAAUGCAGCGACGCCGCGUGGAGGAUGAAGGCUUUCGGGUUGUAAACCUCUGUCGCUAUCGAACGGGUAGGUGGAGAAGAAGCGCCGGCUAACUACGUGCCAGCAGCCGCGGUAAUUC
rnacentral:rRNA from 1 species